rnacentral:rRNA from 1 species
CAACCCGCCGACAACACUGGGAUAGCCUUUCGAAAGAAAGAUUAAUACCGGAUGGCAUAAUUAUUCCGCAUGGGAUAAUUAUUAAAGAAUUUCGGUUGUCGAUGGGGAUGCGUUCCAUUAGGCAGUUGGCGGGGUAACGGCCCACCAAACCUACGAUGGAUAGGGGUUCUGAGAGGAAGGUCCCCCACAUUGGAACUGAGACACGGUCCAAACUCCUACGGGAGGCAGCAGUGAGGAAUAUUGGUCAAUGGACGAGAGUCUGAACCAGCCAAGUAGCGUGAAGGAUGACUGCCCUAUGGGUUGUAAACUUCUUCUAUACGGGAAUAAAGUUAGCCACGUGUGGCUUUUUGUAUGUACCGUAUGAAUAAGGGUCGGCUAACUCCGUGCCAGCAGCCGCGGUAAUACGGAGGAUCCGAGCGUUAUCCGGAUUUAUUGGGUUUAAGGGGAGCGUAGGCGGGUUGUUAAGUCAGUUGUGAAAGUUUGCGGCUCAACCGUAAAAUUGCAGUUGAUACUGGCGACCUUGAGUGCAACAGAGGUAGGCGGAAUUCGUGGUGUAGCGGUGAAAUGCUUAGAUAUCACGAAGAACUCCGAUUG